UACGUAGGGGGCAAGCGUUGUCCGGAAUUAUUGGGCGUAAAGCGCGUGUAGGCGGUCCGGUAAGUCCGCUGUGAAAGUCGGGGGCUCAACCCUCGAAUGCCGGUGGAUACUGUCGGGCUAGAGUGCGGAAGAGGCGAGUGGAAUUCCUGGUGUAGCGGUGAAAUGCGCAGAUAUCAGGAGGAACACCUAUUGCGAAGGCAGCUCGCUGGGACGUAACUGACGCUGAGACGCGAAAGCGUGGGGGAGCAAACAGG
rnacentral:rRNA from 1 species